ensembl:lncRNA
GAGGGUUUUAGUGUAGGGACGUCCCAAGGACACCGGAUAGAACUGACCGUUUGAGAAGUGCGCUCCUCUCACCGCUUUUGGCGGUUCACUGUAACGGACCAUAGACCUGUGCACUGCAUCGAUUACGGACAUUACGUUUCCUUUCCACGCGUGUCACCGUGGUCAAAGCACCUUUUCUUUCCUAAAACCUUUGUCGCGUUCAAAAAAACUGGGAAUUCGGAUGCAUCCCGUCUUCAUUGCGUCCAUAACAACUGGAAACUCGGGGAAAAAUAGCUCCGACUGGGUAAAAUCGUUUUGAACAGUCGUCCAAAGAAGAUCACUGACGUUGACCACGUUUUGUACCAGUUACCAGUUGACUUGAAAGCACCAUACAUUCUCCGAGCUACACUAGUGGACACGAUUAUCGGUAAUAUUACAGCAACAAAGCCAUCCGGACGCGGGGAGGCAAGCUGGGACUGACUACCACAUGAGUGAGAAUACCGGGGAAAGUCUAAUUUAACGGUAUUUCUCCGGUAUAGGCUAAGCGGUAGAGCCUACAGACAAAAAUAGAAGACAAUAUGAUAAGCAGAUCAUCUUUUGCUGACUCGAAUAUUCUACACACUUUCUGUCAGCAACAAUGGAAUUUAGUUUUAUAUUGCCUAUUCUCUUUACGUUUCUUGCUACUACUCUGGUGACCUCAUUGUUCAGUAACAACGAUACUCUGCUGCUGACUCGCCCUCUGGCUUUGCAGCAUCCAAAGCAGAUCACUCACGGGAGGAGGGAGCGAUGAGGUGAAAACUGGAUUAGUUAAAUCAGGACCGUCGGUAAAUCUUACGGAGAAACAGGGGACAGUAGCAGGGCUAACCUCUGCGGACAAACCGGAGGAGGACAGUGAAUGCCGAUUCGUGGGGAAGAUAACGGAUCCGGUGGCAGCGGACAGAAGGACAGUUUGGAAGGAGGGGAUCCAAGCUGCCGUGCACGUGCAAAUGGUGAAAUCUGGCAUUAUGUCUGGCCAACAGUGCUGGAACUCAAACCCCGCCUCAGCGCCGGUGGACAUUCCAGGAAGAUACUUUGGUCACCUACAGUUCCCUGAGGGGGGGUCUUUUCUCUUAGCAGAUAUGGAAGAAGUGGAUGUAGAUUGUGCGCCCAUGAAAUACGCCCCCAGGAUGUAGCGGACCAGCCAGAUGGAGAAGAUGAGGAGCUGGAGGAGGAACAGCGGUCUGUACUGGACUGGGCAGCAUCUCAAUACUCUGACGUGGCUUCCUCUCCUAGUCUCCUCUCCUUUCCCCUUAUUUAAGUGCCACUGCUUACCAGCAGUAACUGGCCAUGUCCAAAUACCCAUACUUGUGUUCUAAAUAGUAGGCUUUUUGGGUAUGCCAAAAUAUGUUUUAUAGGAUGUGAGAUUUAGAAAAUGUAGUUAAGGCCAGGAUGUCAUACUAAUUUCAGCUUUUCAUCUCGUAGAAUUUGCAGCACACUGUUGAGGAAGACGAUAGUCUUUUGAGACCCACAUGCGUUUGACAACAGCUAAUUAUCCAAAUAGUGAAUGUGGCGUGGAACAAGCGCCAUUUUGCAUUACAUGACGCCUUCUCAGUAUGAAUGAGCUUAGAAUGUUCAUCUUUGUUGCUUACUGCAUACAUUUUUACAAAAAAAGUAUGUUCUAAAUACUAUGUAGUAUGAUUAGUACACAGUAUGUAGAUUUCAGAUGUAGUAGACGACAGAUUUCAGACACAGCCAUUGUAAAUAGUCUUUCCAACUCACUAUAACCCUCUCCUGUCCAGUGUCCUCUGCUACCUUACAACCCCUCUCCCUUUCUCCAAGUGUCAGUGAGUGUUGUCUCUGUGAGGUGAUUUUGCUUAGCAGCUACUUCUAUCCACGGCACCACUGGGGACUUAGGACUGACCAAGGCUCCGAAAACAAGGUGAAAGAAAGAAAGAGGAGGAAACCCCCCAACGAGUUGAGGGAGAAACACAAAUCAGACCUUGGAUCAGUGUUGGAGGGCAGCUUAAUUUUACUCCAGCAGAAACCCAGGCCUGGUGUCUGUCUGUAACAUCUGUAUUCAGAGACUCCACCAGGCCUGGUGUCUGUCUGUAACAUCUGUAUCCUGAUCUCUAUUUCUGCAGGGUAGAGUUCACCACUGACUUUACCUCUCUGUAAGCCGAUCAGACAGACAGACAGACGGACGGGCGGGCGUUGUAAUAAAAGCAUGGGUGCAAUGGGAGCAGCUGGCAGCCAUCUUCCAGCUGCUGAAGGAGAACCAGGAGACAUUUGGGGAGGUGUCAGAGGGAGACGUGGAGGAGCGACUCUACUCCAUCUAAACCCCUAGUCUACUCACAGUCGACUCUAUUCCCUGCCUUGCCUCGGCCGUAUCCUUAUCUCGUCCAUUGCUAUCUCUCCUCAACCUUUCCCAUGGAGCACCCUUUCCCAUGGAGCACCCUUUCCCAUGGAGCACCCUUUCCCAUGGAGCACCCGUUCCCAUGGAGCACCCUUUCCCAUGGAGCACCCGUUCCCAUGGAGCACCCUUUCCCAUGGAGCACCCUUUCCCAUGGAGCACCCUUUCCCAUGGAGCAC